GGAGAGGGCUAGCAUGAAAAUUUUUGUCCUGCAUUUUUUUUUAGCUGUAAUUUCUGUCCUGCCUUUUUAUUUUUCACUCUGUUUGGUCCUGCCUUCUUUUUUUUUUAGUUUAUCUUGCUCUUUUUUUACCUAAAUUGUCGUCCUGACUUUUUUUUUUGCAAGUGUCUCAUCCUGCUUUUUUUUUUACUCAAAACUCCUGUCCUGCCUAUUUUUUUCAAAUUUCAUCCUACAUGUCCUAGCCCCCUAAUGAGACCCACUAUAUAGUCAAUCUGAAAUUAUGGGACCAACAUUUGAUACAAUAGCCAGAUGAAAAAAAGAACGGAGGGAGUUGAAAGGGCAUGUGAAUAUUCUUUUACAC
rnacentral:lncRNA from 1 species